rnacentral:tRNA from 1 species
GGCAGUGUAGCUCAGUUGGUUAGAGCAAUCGGCUCAUACCCGGUGCGUCGAGGGUUCGAGUCCCCCCACUGCUACCA